UGCCUACGACUGGCCCAAAUUGACUCUAGUAGGGAGUCCUUGUGUACGAGUGACUCCCUAACGGAGUCAGAUUGAGCCCGCUAGGAGCAAGGA
rnacentral:pre_miRNA from 14 species